UGGUUUUUUUUUUAGUUAUUUUCGUUUAUAAACUAUUGUUAAGGGUAAUAUUGUCUUUGCACGGUCAACUAACGGUCAAUGUUAAACUUAACUGACGAUAGGGGAUUUUUUACAAAUAAAUCAAUUCUCGCCAUCUACUUGCAACAAGCCCAAACCUCAGGGGAGGUUUUUAAAAAUUACCCUUCCUGAUGUUUUAUUCCACAUUAAGUGGUUAUCAUCCACGUAAUCAAACCACUUCAUUCAUGCAGCUUGUCUUUGUUAGGUAGAAAUUAAAGAUAGUGUCCUAUUGGUGCAUAGUUGCCUAAGUGGCUACAGAUACUGUAUGUGUAAAAGCUUUUCUGUUAUAUUAAAAAGUUAACUUAUGAUUCGCAAGAUUGUCUAAAUUUAUAUGUAAUACGUAGAGUUUGUUCGUUAAAAAUUUGAAGUUUCAAAUUUUAUUAAUUUUAUACAUAU
rnacentral:lncRNA from 1 species